rnacentral:rRNA from 1 species
UACGUAGGGGGCUAGCGUUGUCCGGAAUCAUUGGGCGUAAAGCGCGUGUAGGCGGUCCGGUAAGUCCGCUGUGAAAGUCGGGGGCUCAACCCUGGGAUGCCGGUGGAUACUGUCGGGCUCGAGUCCGGAAGAGGAGUGUGGAAUUCCUGGUGUAGCGGUGAAAUGCGCAGAUAUCAGGAGGAACACCGGUGGCGAAGGCGGCCAGCUGGGCCGUCCCUGACGCUGAGGCGCGAAGGCGUGGGGAGCGAACGGG